UACGUAGGCAGCAAGCGUUGUUCGGAAUUACUGGGCGUAAAGAGUGUGUAGGCGGUGCUCCAAGUCUGGUGUGAAAUCUCCCGGCUCAACUGGGAGGGUGCCGCUAGAAACUGGAAUGCUAGAGGAUGGGAGAGGUAAGCGGAAUUCCUGGUGUAGCGGUGAAAUGCGUAGAUAUCAGGAGGAACACCUGUGGUGUAGACAGCUUACUGGACCAUUUCUGACGCUGAGACACGAAAGCGUGGGUAGCAAACAGG
rnacentral:rRNA from 1 species